AGAGCGAACGCUGGCGGCAGGCUUAACACAUGCAAGUCGAGCGGGCGUAGCAAUACGUCAGCGGCAGACGGGUGAGUAACGCGUGGUAACAUACCUUUUGGUUCGGAACAACACAGGGAAACUUGUGCUAAUACCGGAUAAGCCCUUACGGGGAAAGAUUUAUCGCCGAAAGAUUGGCCCGCGUCUGAUUAGCUAGUUGGUGAGGUAACGGCUCACCAAGGCGACGAUCAGUAGCUGGUCUGAGAGGAUGAUCAGCCACAUUGGGACUGAGACACGGCCCAAACUCCUACGGGAGGCAGCAGUGGGGAAUAUUGGACAAUGGGCGCAAGCCUGAUCCAGCCAUGCCGCGUGAGUGAUGAAGGCCCUAGGGUUGUAAAGCUCUUUUGUGCGGGAAGAUAAUGACGGUACCGCAAGAAUAAGCCCCGGCUAACUUCGCGCCAGCAGCCGC
rnacentral:rRNA from 1 species